rfam:Callithrix jacchus chromosome 7, whole genome shotgun sequence
GACCUUGAGAAUUAUCGUAGCCAAUGAGGUUUAUCCGAGGCGCGAUUAUUGCUAAUUGAAAACUUUUCCCAAUACCCCGCCAUGGCGACUUGAAAUAUAGUCAGCGUAGGCAAUUUUUGGUAGUCUCUAUGGAGA